rnacentral:rRNA from 1 species
GCACAACGCGAAGAACCUUACCACCUUUUGACAUGCCUGGACCGCCACAGAGAUGUGGCUUUCCCUUCGGGGACUGGGACACAGGUGCUGCAUGGCUGUCGUCAGCUCGUGUCGUGAGAUGUUGGGUUAAGUCCCGCAACGAGCGCAACCCUCGCCAUUAGUUGCCAUCAUUCAGUUGGGAACUCUAAUGGGACUGCCGGUGCUAAGCCGGAGGAAGGUGGGGAUGACGUCAAGUCCUCAUGGCCCUUACAGGGUGGGCUACACACGUGCUACAAUGGCGAUUACAGAGGGUUAAUCCUUAAAAGUCGUCUCAGUUCGGAUUGUCCUCUGCAACUCGAGGGCAUGAAGUUGGAAUCGCUAGUAAUCGCGGAUCAGCAUGCCGCGGUG